UGAGGAAUAUUGGUCAAUGGUCGCUAGACUGAACCAGCCAAGUAGUGUGCGGGAUGAAGGCCCUCCGGGUCGUAAACCGCUUUUAGACGGGGAUAAAAGGGCGUACGUGUACGCCGUAUUGCAUGUACCGUCAGAAAAAGGACCGGCUAAUUCCGUGCCAGCAGCCGCGGUAAUACGGAAGGUCCGGGCGUUAUCCGGAUUUAUUGGGUUUAAAGGGAGCGUAGGCGGACUUUCAAGUCAGUGGUAAAAUCGUGUGGCUCAACCAUACCUCGCCAUUGAAACUGGAAGUCUGGAGUGCACACAGGGGUGCCGGAAUUCAUGGUGUAGCGGUGAAAUGCUUAGAUAUCAUGAAGAACUCCGAUCGCGAAGGCAAGUGCCCGGGUGCACUGACGCUGAGGCUCGAAGGUGCGGGUAUCGAACAGGAUUAGAUACC
rnacentral:rRNA from 1 species